GCUUUCUCUUUUUAAUGUUUUCUUUAUUAUCAGAAACUUGUUGCUGGCCUAUAUUAUGCACCUGACCCACAGAGCUGAUGGGGAGUCUCUUAAAGAACAUGUCGUUGUCAGCUUUGGUUGCCGUGACAAAAUACCACAGACCAGAUGGCUUAAACACACAGGGAUUUAUUUGUCAGGGUUCUAGAGGCUGGAAGUCCAAGACCAAGGUGCCCGCAGACUAUUGCGGGGGAAGAACUGGCUCGAACUUGAAGUACUAGCUGGGAAGCCCUAGGCAUGAAUACAAGAUGGAACCGAGGACAGAGAGAAGGGAGGAUUGUGGAGAGCCGGCUCCAGGCCCCCAUGUUUCAGAGCAAACUCUGAAAAGGACAAGAAUUCUACAUGCAAGCCCCGCCUUCCAGGCUGCCCCUCUGUUGUCCUUGUCAUUGGAACAUCAUUUGGCACUCCUGGGAAGGCUUACUGAACUUGGCCACAAGCAGAGUCCAGAGCUUCAUUCCUCAGGGAGAGCUGGAGCUACUGUGUAAGAGGAAGCAGAGUAAAG